CAGCAGUCGCCGCGGUAAUACAGAGGGUGCGAGCGUUAAUCGGAUUUACUGGGCGUAAAGCGUGCGUAGGCGGCUUCUUAAGUCGGAUGUGAAAUCCCUGAGCUUAACUUAGGAAUUGCAUUCGAUACUGGGAAGCUAGAGUAUGGGAGAGGAUGGUAGAAUUCCAGGUGUAGCGGUGAAAUGCAUAGAGAUCUGGAGGAAUACCGAUGGCGAAGGCAGCCAUCUGGCCUAAUACUGACGCUGAGGUACGAAAGCAUGGGGAGCAAACAGGAUUAGAUACCCGAGUAGUCCCUGUCUCUUAUAC
rnacentral:rRNA from 1 species